GAAAUUCCUUCCUUGUGGAGUUUUCCUGUCAGCUGAGAUCUUCAGAGACAGUGUCAGCUGUCAACUACAGACAGGAGAAUCUGUUACCUUUCACUGGAAAUAUUAACUGUAAGACUGGUGACUGCUAACAACCCUUCCCACACAAAACCUAAACGGCUCAGAGCCUUCAGAGAGCAGACAGGACACCAGCAUCCCACCAAACUGUGACGCCGGUGUUUGGGCCAUGCCAGCCUUUGUUACAGCUGUUUUCCAGAUGGGCACACACAGGCUAUGCCAGACACAGCCCCAGUAAUGCAGAGCCCUGAGCUGCUCUAAACAAAAGGGUGGCUGCUAAACCUGCUAACACAAACUAAAACCAAGCAGACAAGGAACGCAGCACACACACAAACACACCCUGCACUGCAGGUUCUCCUCUCUCCCCUUGGCCUGAUGCACGCACAGCACUAGCAGCAGUGUCUUGGGCUCUAUUUUAAGCUUCUACAGUAACAGAUGAGAUGCGAGGGACAGUACUGGGAAAGAACAUGCAUUGGUGCCAGAGGGAAAAGUGGGGACAAAAGGCAGUAGGUGUGGGGCUGGGACACAGUAGACCCCCUCUGGGGAUCAGAGGGCCUCAGUGCUCCUGAAUGAGCAGCUCCCUUAGAGCCGGCACUGAAGUCUAUGUGUGCUCUGAUACCGCUUUCAUCGUUAUUCAGAAAGAAACAAAAACAAUACAUGCACAAAGAGAAGAACUGUGGGCUGAGCUCUCCCAGUUCUGCGACGCUCUGAUGCCGUGACUGCAGAGGCUGGCCGUGCCGGUCGGGCCCCGUUCAGGAACCUGCGUGCUCCAUCUAUGAAGGACACGGAGCGCCUUCACCGAGCGCAGCUCCGCCGUCCUUAAGAGAGGCGGUGCGGGAGCUCAGCAGCCCUGCGUGGGCACCGGCACACAACAGGCACAGCUCUCCUAAAGGCACUGCGGGAAACACGCUCCAGAAGCAGCGAGGUGCAAUUAUAUUCCAGAAAAAGCAUUCCUAUUUAGAGAGCGUUGGAAAUAGAGAAAAACCGGUCGUCGUUCUAUUGUUCCCUAUUGCAUCCCGGUCGCAGCGCGGAGCCGCGGGGCAGCAGAGCCGGGACUCACUGCGGAUGGCGGCGAUCAGCGCGUUGCCGUCCUUGAUCACGUCCUUGAUGAACUUGUUGGUGCGCUCCAGCUCCUGCUCGUAGCAUUUCAGCCGCUCUCUGAAGUCGGGGCUGUCCAGGUAGCAGUCGCUGAACUCCAGCGGCGGGUGCCCCAUGGCUGCGCCGGCACGGCCGGGA